rnacentral:tRNA from 1 species
GCCUGGAUGGCUUCGUCAGUUAAGCGUCUGACUUCAGCUCAGGUCAUGAUCUCAUGGUUUGUGGGUUCGAGCCCUGCAUCAGGCU